rnacentral:lncRNA from 1 species
UCAAGGUCCAUACAUGUUGUUGCAAAUAGCAGGGUUCCCUUCUUUCUCAAGGCUGAAUAAUAUUCCACUAAAUUUACAUGCCACAUCUUCUUUUCCCAUUCAUUCACUGUUGGACACCAAGUUGCUUCCCUAUCUUAGCUAUGGUGGAUAAUACUGCAAUGAAUAUAGGAGUGCAGAUAUCUCUUUGACAUUCUGUUUUCUUUUCCUUUGGCUAUAUACUCAAAAUGUUAAAUUUCCAGAUCAAAGAAUAGUUCUUUUUUUAGUUUUAUAAGGAAACUCGACACUAUUUUCCAUAAUGGCUGCACCAAUUUACAUUCAAACUGACAGUGCACAAGUGUUCCCUUUUCUCCAUAUCCUAACCAAUACCUUUUAUCUCUGUUAAAUGAUAAAAAUUAUGACAGGUGUGAGGUGAUCUUACUGUGGUUUUGAUUUGCAUUUCCCUGGUAAUUAGCGAUGUUAAACAAUUUUUAAUUUACAUGUUGGCCAUCUGUAUGUCUUCUUUGGAAAAAUGUCUAUUCAGUUACUUUUUAAAUCAAAUUGCUUGGUUUUUCAUUAUUGAUUUGUGUAAGUAUCAAUGUAUUUUGGAUAUCAACCCCUUAACAGACACAUGAUUUGAAAAUACUUUCUCUUAUUCAUUAGGUUGCAUUUUCCUUUUGCUUAUAGUUUCCUUUAUCGCACAGUAGCUUUUUACUUUGAUGUACUCCAGCCCAUUUAUUGAGUUUUGCUUUUGUUGCCAAAUUCAAAGAAAUCAUUGCCAAGACCAAUUUCAAGCAGUUUACCCCAUUUUAUGGCUUCAGGUUUUAUGUUCAAAUCUUCAAUUCAUUUGGCGUUCAUUUCUGUGUAUGGUAUAAGAUAGGGGUCCAAUUUUCACAACAUUACUUAUUAAAAAGACUAUUCUUUGCCCAAUGAAUAUUCUUAGUUCUUUUGUCAUUAAUUGGCCACUUAUGUGAUGAUUUAUAAGAUCUCACUUCUGUUCCAUUAAUCUAUCUGUUUCUAUGCCGAUGCCACACUGUUUAGAUUAUAUAGCUUUGUAAUAUUGCUUGAAAUCAGAAAGUGUGAUGCCUCUAGCUUUAUUUUUCCUCAAGACUGCUUUGGAAGUUCCUACUGUGGCUCAGUGUGUUACAAACCUAACUAGUAUCCAUGAGGAUGCGGGUUCAAUCCUUGGCCUCACUCAGUGUGUUAAGGAUCCAGCACUGCUAUAUGUUGUGGGUGGUGUAGGUCGCAGAUGUGGCUCAGAUCCCACAUUGCUGUCUGUGACAUAAGCCAGCAGCUGCAGCUCCAAUUCAACCCCUAGCCUGGGAACUUCCAUAUGCCAUAGGUGCAGCCAUUAAAAAAAAAAAAAAAAAAAGGCUGCUUUGGCUAUUCAGAUCUUUUGCAGGUCCAUACAAAUUUUAGGAUUGCUUUUAGUAUUUGUGAAAAAUGCUACUAAACUUCUGAUAGAGUUCAUUGAACCUGGAGAUUGCUUUAGAUAGAAUGGACAUUUUUAACAACAUAAACUUUUCCAAUCUAUGAAUACAGAGUAGUUUCUAUUUAUUUGUGUCUUCUUCAAUAUCUUUCAUCAAUGUUUUAUAAUAUUUAGUGUACAUAUCUUUCACCUCUCUGGUUAAAUUUAUAACCAGGUUUUAUUCUUUUUGAUAAAACUGUAAACAGGAUUGUUUUAUUAAUUUCUCAGACAGUUCAUUUAGAGUGUACAAAAAUGCAACAGAUCUUUACAUUUUUUUUUAUCCUGCAAUUUCAAUGAAUUUGUUUAUUGGUUCCAACAGUGUUUUGGUGGUACCUCUGCAAAUAGAAACAGUUUUACUACUUCUUUUCUGGUCUGACUAUCUUUUAUUUAUUUUUGUCUGACUUCUCACUAGAACUUCCAGUACUAUAUUAUAUAGAAAUGGUGAGGAUCAGUUCUUUUUAUAUGAGAAACAGUCUUGUUCCUUAUGGUUAUUCACUGCAAAAACAACCCUGGGUAUGUGCCAUAUCAUACUGUUUUGAUUGCUGUAGCUUUGUGUUAUGGUCUGAAGUCAAGGAGUAUGAUUCUUCCAGCUCUGUCUUCUUUCUCAAGAUUGUUUUGGCUACCUGAGGUCUUUUGUGUUUCCAUACCAAUUAAAAAAAUUUUCUAGUUCUAUGAAAAAAAGCCACUAGUAUUUUGAUAGGAAUUGCUAUAAAUCUGUAGAUUGCCUUGGAUAAUAUGGUCAUUUUAACAAUAUUAAUUCUUCCAAUCCAAGAGCAUUUGUUUGUGUCAUCUUUAAUUUCUACUAUUAGUGUCCUAUAGUUUUCAGAGUACAUUCAGAGUACAGGUCUUUACCUCCUUGGGAAGGUUUAUUCCUAGGUAUUUUAUUAUUUUUGGUGCAAUGGUAAAUGGGAUUGUUUCCUUAAUUUCUCUGAUAGUUUAAUAAAGUAUAGAAAUGCAACAGAUUUCGGUGUAUUAAUUUUGUAUCCUGCAACAUUACCAAAUUCUCUGAGCUUUUAUAGUUUCAGUGUCUUAUCUUAAGGAUUUUCUUUUUUUUUUUUUUUUUUUUUUUUUUUUUUUUUGCCUUUUGGUUGGGGGGGGAGGGCGUGCACUCACAGCAUAUGUAAGUUCCCAGGCUAGGGGGAGCAGCCCAAGAAAUGGCAAAAAGACAAAAAAAAAAAAAAAAAAAAAAAAAUCCAGUCAUGAACAAACACAUAAGUGAUCUAAAGCAUGACUUUUGAAAUUACGAUGAUGAUCCACUAUUAGAUAAGGAAAUAAAUUUAAUUAUGAACACUAGUAUAUGUUAAAAUAUACAAAAAUAUAUAUAUUAGAAUAGCGCAUGGCAUAUACUCCCACAUAGUCAGCUUAGAAUUGUUUCAACUUUUUUUAAUUUCAUUUGUGCAUUUACACCUGUGGAAAACAGCUCAUAAAUGUAAAUUUUAUUUCUUACUAUGGGUGUGGUAAAAAGAGUAUGUGAAUGUUACCUAUCUGAGAUAUCUUCAACUCUAAGUUUAAUCAUUCUAAUUUUAAAACUCCUUCAAAAAAUUUAAUGAAAUGAAAUCUGAUUAGACCCCUAGCCUGGGAUCGAAGUUAGGAAGGAAUGAAAAGACUAAAAGAAAAAAAGAUAUGGAUACAAAAAGUGAUUAGUAAGAAAACUCCUAAAUGUCUGCUGGUGGUAAACAUUUUUAAAGUUCCCAUGCAGACUCAGUUAAAUGAGAAGGAAAAUGACGAGGAAAAGGAAAGGAUUGGAAGCUGGUGGGUGGAUACAGCAAGUGGAAAGAAGCUGAUAGGGACUCUGAGUCACUGUGUUAGAGGGCAAUACUAAAGGAGCCUAUGAUCUAAACCUGUCAGAAGUGUAUAAACAAACACACAGAAACAUAAGGCAUUACUAUGAAAUGAAUGUUUAUCUCCCCCCGAACUCAUUUGUUGAAAUCAUAAUUUCCAGUGUAAUGGUAUCAGGAAUGAGGGUUUGGGAGGUGAUUAGGUCAUGAGGAUAGUAGAGCCUUCAUGAAUGGGAUCAGUGCCUUCAUAAGAAACCUUGUUGCGCUCUUUCAUUCCUUCUACCAUGUGAAGACACAGCAAGAAGAGGUCCACCUAUGAACCAGCAAGUGGGUCCUCACCAGACAAUAAAUCUGCUGGCACCUUGUUCUUUGAUUUUCCAACCUCCAAAACUGUGAAAAAUAAAUUUCUGUUAUUUGUAAGAUACCUAGUCUACGGUAUUUUUGUUGCCAAAGCCCAAACAGACUAAGGCAUUGACAGUACUGAAGUUUUAGAUGUACAUAUGAAUAAAUAUAUGCUUACCUAUCAGGAAAACUUUACUGAUCCACAAAUCUAACUGACACUUGAAAACUUAUGCUCUUGUUAUGGAUCAUAGAUGACUUCAGGCUCUGUACAACAGAGGUCUCCUCCACAAGUCUUGGAUGAAAAUAGGAAACAAAAAAAAUCAAGAAAACAGACAUAAGCUGAGUUCUCCCUCAACUGAGCUGCUGUAAAAACAGCAAAAACCCAGAAAAAUAAAUAAACAAACAAAAUAGCUUCAAAUAUUCCU